AACUUAUGAUGAUCCUCAGUAAUGCUGUGUACUACUGACUAUGAAGUGAGGAAGUCAACCUUGGAGAGUUGUGUU
ensembl:snoRNA SNORD39 Small nucleolar RNA SNORD55/SNORD39